ensembl:misc_RNA Metazoa_SRP Metazoan signal recognition particle RNA
GCCAGGUGUGGUGGUGCACACCUGUAAUCCCAGCUACUCAGGAGGCUGAGGCAGGAGAAUCGCUUGAACCCACGAGGUGGAGGUUGCAGUGAGCCAAGAUCGUGCCACUGCACUCCAGCCUGGGUGACAGAGUGAGAUUCUGUCUCCA